ensembl:lncRNA
GUAUGUAUGUAUGUAUGUAUGUAUGUAUGUAUGUAUGUAUGUAUGUAUGUAUGUAUGUAUGUAUGUAUGUAUGUAUGUAUAUACACACACACACACACACACAGUAUAUACAAUCUAUAUACAUUAUAUCUCUAAACCGGCCUCUUGAAGUACUGUUUGUUUUCCUUUCACAAUCUUGUACAAGCAAAAUGGGUGGAAGGGUUUGUCCUCUGUUCUUGUUGUCCCCUUGUUAUCUUUAUCUGAUAUUUGCGAUGAUGUAACACGGGGAUGGGAGUGUGUCAGCUUCAGGUCACUGUGUUACAUACAGCACUGCCUCAGCAUUAAAAGUGUAAUUAUUGCCUAUGUCCUGUUGAUGCCCAUUCCAAUGUGUGCCGCUUCUUCAUGAAACACAGCCCAAUGUUAUUAACAUUUCAGCUGGAGUUUGGAGAACAUUCUAUUUAUCUAUUCAGAUUAAAUCAAUUAUUAACACAGUGUGGUGAAAGUGUAUGGUGAUGAGCUUGAUGCUCCUUUCCAACAAAUAGAGGGUCUAGUGGCACGAUGGUCGGUACUUGAUUGCCAUUUGACAAAUAUAAAUAUACAUAAUAAUCUAAUGUAGACAAGCCUACCUGCACUGUAUCUGCAAGCUGUUUGCUAGAGCGCAGAUGCCAAGACCAGAGUAGGUAUGGUACAUAUGCUAUUUAAUGCAACAGUUUGUGACAACUAUCGGUUGUUGAGAACGUGAUAGAAACGCAUUGAACUUUAGAUUUUUAUUCGGUACAUGAAAACUUAAACAAAAAAGUAAAUUUUGUGUGCACUACGUCAUCACGCAUUGACUUUUAUCCGCAACAAAACCGUUUGGUGGAAAUACACCACUGUUGAAUAUUUGCAUGAAAAUCUGUUGCCAAGUAGAUGGAAACCUAGUUAUAGGGAGCGUUCAUUGGCAUAAUGAAUUUGGGGCAUGACUUGGCAUUACAUCAAAUGCCAUAACAUUUUUGGAAUUUUAGAAUCUUUGUCUAAUUUGUAUUGGUAAUUAUUAAUACUCAAAGAUGAUCUUUAAAAAAUAUACUGAACAAAAAUAUAAAUGCAACAUGUAAAAGUGUUAGUCUCAUGUUUCUUGAGCUGAAAUAAAAGAUCCCAGAAAUGUCCAAACGCACUAAAGGUUUCUCUAAAAUGUUGUGCACAAAUGUGUUUACAUCCAUGUUAGUGAGCAUUUUUUCUUUGCCAAGAUAAUCCACAGGUGUGGCAUAUCAAGAAGAUGAUUGAACAGCAUGAUCAUUACACAUGUGCACCUUGUGCUGGGGACAAAUGGGCACUCUAAAAUGUGCAGUUUUGUCACACAACACAAUGCCACAGCUUGCAAUUGGCAUGCUGACUGCCAGAAUGUCCACCAGAGCUGGUGCCAGAGAAUUGAAUGUUCAUUCCACUAUCACAAGAUGCCUCCAACAUCGUUUUAGAGAAUUUGGCAG